rnacentral:rRNA from 1 species
UACGUAGGGUGCAAGCGUUGUCCGGAAUUAUUGGGCGUAAAGAGCUCGUAGGCGGUCUGUCGCGUCUGCUGUGAAAACGUGGGGCUCAACCCCGCGCGUGCAGUGGGUACGGGCAGACUGGAGUGCAGUAGGGGAGACUGGAAUUCCUGGUGUAGCGGUGAAAUGCGCAGAUAUCAGGAGGAACACCGGUGGCGAAGGCGGGUCUCUGGGCUGUUACUGACGCUGAGGAGCGAAAGCGUGGGGAGCGAACAGG